AUGACGGCGAGCUUCGGCCGCCGCCUCCGCCCGACGUCGGCGCCGCCGCUCGACGACGACGACCUGCUCGACGAGAUCCUCCUCCGCCUCCCCCCGGAUCCGUCCUCCCUCCCGCGCGCCUCCGCCGUCUGCACCCGCUGGCGCCGCCUCGUCUCCGACCCCGGCUUCGUCGGCCGCUUCCUCCUCCACCACCGCCUCCGCCCUUCCAUCCUCGGCUGCUUCAUCACGGACCAGCGGAGGGCGACCGUCUCCUUCGUGCCUACUCUGGAGGCCCCCAACCGUCUCCCCGCCGAGCGCUUCUCCUUGGAGCUCGGCGACCGCGGCCGCUUCAGGCUCCUCAGCUGCCGCCACGGCCUCCUGCUCAUGUUCCUCCCGUUGUGGAGCAAGGUCCUGGUCUGGGACCCCGUCACCGGAGACCAGCACCGCCUGGACAUUCCCCUAGGGUUUGACACGAAGAAGGAGAUCGCCGGGGCGGUGCUUCGCGCUGCCGGGGCCAUCCGCCACUUCCAAGUGGUCUUAGUGGGCAGAGACAAACAAAACAUAGUCGCCUGCGUUUACUCAUCGGAGGCUGGCGUAUGGAGCAAACUGAUCUCAACUCCGCUUCCAAAUCCGUUUUGCUACCAGUUUACAUCAACCAUUUGA
rnacentral:rRNA from 1 species